CAUUUAUACCUUGAGUCAAAGUUCUCUCUUUGGAUUGGUGACUGAAUAACACCACUUUGGUGUUUUCAUAGUGCUAAGGCUCAACCAGCAGUUUGGAUUUAUUUAGCAAGCAUGUUAAUUCCUCAGUUGUAUCUCUCAACUUGAAUAAAAACUGGCUGUCUGAGGAAUAGACUCUCAGAGGCUUAAAAAUAAAACUAGUCAAGGUCAGCAGUCUGAUGCUUCGGGAGCCACAGGGUAAAGAGUGAGAGAGUACCCGGCUACGCUACACUGGCACUGUCUCCUCUGCUGGUGUAGGCCCAGCUAACGCCCAAGUCAGUCAGAAACGUGAAGUCAAGAAUUUCCCCUUAGAAGACUCUGCUGCACCUUCUUGUCCUUGUGGGUUAGGUUCUCUUUAUACAGCAAAACCUAUCUUGAGAACCUGAGGCAGGAUGUUCAGAAGUGAGAGGGUGUAUACAGUUCUUUUUUAUAUGCUUAGCAAUGGCAAAUCCAUUGAUGAGAAACCAAAGUAAGAUGACCAAGUAUAUAUGUGAGCUAAGAGAACAGGGCGUUAUAUAGUCAAGAUGUUCAGCUAUAGAGGACGUUCAUUUAAGGUUGACAAGGAGUAUGAUUAUCAGGGUUGGCCAUGGGUGGAAGGGUUAUGGAUUAUACAUGAGAGAAAUAAGUGGGGAUGUUGCCUUUCUUAAGAAUUUAAUCUGCAUAAGGAGUUUGCCUUAGUUCUGCAAGUUAUUUUUCUUUCAAGGGACAGUCAGAUAAGGUCUGUGUGGUUAGUAAGGUAUAGUGAUUCCCUGUAUGUAGUAGAAAUAGCUCAAACGUUGUUUUUAAGAAAGGAGGAAAGGGACAAGAUAGACUUGAGUGACAUAUAGAGGGAAUGGAAAUUUGUAGGAAACGUGAAAGGGGUGCUGUGUGGACUUGACUAGAACAGUGCCAGGGGAAGGGAGCAGCUAGCUUAUGUGGUGUGUACUCUGUGUGCAUUGCCUCCUUCAGUCUUCAUGCAGUCCCUACACAGUCUGUUUGCCUUCUACUCAUCUGUAAGUGUGGAAGAAAACUGGAAUUCAUACAGCUUGUUCAAUACAUUGUUACUAGUAAGGGCCCAAUUAGAAUUAGAGCCCGAGUCUGUUCUUUACCUUGUGUGCUGUGUCGUCCUAUGUCAAUUGGGGUCCAUUUACUCUAAAGGUCACCUUAUUAUCAUUACUCUAAGGCCAUCUUAAUAUUAUUUGGAUUUAUAAACUAAAGAUCUUUGUUUCUUUGAAGAUGGAAGACAUAGUUGGGGUCAAGAUUAUGGGACUUGCACUACCCUAUAGAAAUCUUAAUUAUGCCAUUUUAAAGAGAAUAUUUUUUUCUGAUAGAUUAUCCAUGAUAGAUUAUUAAACAACACUUUGUUUUUAUACCAUGUUCUAUCUUGUAUUCAAAUCUACUGUAUUAGUGCUCUAUUUACUCUUUAAUCAAAAGUUGGAAAUAUUUGGAAAGCUAAAAUUUGGUUUGACUGUUUUAUCUAGUUAGGGAGUCAUUUAUAUACAUGGAUAACAGCCAAAAGGUGAAUUUUAUCUUUUUCAGGAUUAAACUGUUAUUACAGUAGGAACUUAGGAGAUAAGGGUAGUGUAAGUUUAGUUAGGGCUGUCUUCGCAGAGAAGACAGACAGACAGUGGCAAGCACGGUAACUCAUUCUUUGACUCCCCCUCUUGUAAAUACUAGAUUUGAAGCAUGAAGUUUAUCAAUAAGGCAAGACAAAGGUACUAAAGGAUUUUGAACUCCAGUACUAAAAACCCUUUAAAUUAGCAAGGAUCUCACUUGAACACUUAAGAAAAAUGUCAGAGGGCUCCUGAAAACUGAAGGCAAGAUUUCCCUUACUGGGUACAAUACAUGGUGUUUGGCACUGAGAGGAGGAGCCUGCCUGGUGGGGUCAGUGCACCACUGUCAGGAGCAGCUUUUCUUCCUCAAUCUUGAAUUUCGUUUUUGAAAUACAGAAUUGGACUAGAUUAGUAGUUCAACUCAGAAGACUCUACAGUUUCAACAUGGGUGGGGAAUGGUGGGGUCAACUACCAACAGAAGUCAGCUCGUGGAGGAAGUAUAACGUGGGCCUGGAGUCGCCCUACUGAAGACCUUAGGUCCACCCCGAAGUUUUAAGCAUCUGAUUAUUUUAUGUCAUCCUCAGACUGAUUAAAGUACGAAAAGUGCACUUGCUAAUCAGUUCAUUUGGGGCUUUUCCCCGUAUUCAAGUAUCUUUUGCCCAGUCUUUUUACAGACCUCAUUGUGAUGACUGAAAUCCCUUAGUACAAUAAUUACAGAUCUAGUGAUCUUUAAACAGCCAAGUAUUUGUUUUUAACAAUGACUUAACUGUAAUGAAUGCAGAACAGAUAAUGUCUCCAGUAUGGGAGCUGUGUUUGUGUGCUUUAAGCUAAGGACUGGCAAUCACAAAGCUGAAUGGUGUGAGUUGUGAAGUUCAUACUUGUUUUGGGCAGAGGUGACCUUUUCAAGAUUUCCAUCAAGUUGAUGUUUAAAAAUAGUUCUUGUCCCAUAGAAUGGAUUUUUGUCUCACCUUUUAGAGAUCUUUCAUUUAUGUACUUGACAAUAAGUUACAGAGUACAAAAUUGUGAGUAGUGUCAUGUGUAAAACUAAAACUUGAAAAGUAAUGAGGGUAGGAAGAGCCGGCCCUGCGAGGGCUCACACUUCUCCAGCAGCGUAAGCCUUAAUGAAUAGGCUGCUUCUAGGCAGUCACUCUGCCACCCAAGUUACUCCCCAGUCACUCCCUGAACGAACACCUGAAGGUCCUGUGAGCGAGCAGUGAACAAAUUCCAGUGUUACUGGUUUGCCUUACUUAACGUUUCAGUUCUUUACUGUGAAACUUAGAAUACCCAGUCCACAUUUUAGAGUGGGGAAAGUAUGUUCUUCAGAACUCAAAAUAACCAAAGAGAACCAUUCUAAUAUAUUGAUUUCUGGUAUAAUACAGAGAUUUAAAUACUUCAGUGAUGGUUAUUUGGAUUUUAGACUCACCUUGUGUCAGUUCUGGUAAUGAGAGAGCUUGGAAGUAAAGGUAUUUGGCUUGUACAGUUAAGAACAGAGAUUAGCAUAGCUUUGGUCAGUUUUUUUGUUUGUUUUUAGAGACAGGGUUUCUUUAUGUAAUAGCCCUGGCUGUCCUGGACUCUCUUUGAGGACCAGGGAGCUAGCCUUGAACUCAUAGAGAUCUGCCUGCCAAGUGCUGUGACUAAAGGUGUGUGCCGCCACACGUCUCUUUAUGAAUAAUCAGAUGGCCAGAUUAUCGGAUAUGAUGAAACCCUGAAAUAGAACAUCAGUUUAAUCCUUCUUGUCCAUUGGGGGGUGGGGGGUGUCUUUUAGUUUGUUUUCAAAUGUUCUUACACAGUUCAGGCUAACCUCUCCUCUUCUUCCUCCUCUUUUUCCCCACUUGGAACAAGUUUUCUUUAUGUAUUCCGGUUGUCCUGGAUCAGGCUGUCCUCGUAAGUGACCGUGUAGUUAGUUGAACAUGACCUUGAACCUCUGGGUCCUCCUUGGGUUAAAGUGAGCCACAUGCCUGUCUCUUCUUCAUUCUUUUCCUAAUUUCUCCAAAAUUGGUCAUGGUCUUCAAUUCACUUAGCUAUGUUUUUAAAAUUAUAUUUCUAAGCUUGUAUAAUAUUUCUUGUUUUUAUAAAUUAAUAUAGAAGAGAGUAUUUUCAGGCAAACUUCAUUUUUACAACUCAUUUCUUGCCUAAGGAUAAUUCUUCCAAGAGGAUGGCUGGCUCUGUGAUAAACCUCCAAAGUAGUUGGUUUGUUUGUUUGGUUAAAGAUUUUUAAUUGUCCUAACUAAAUCUCACCAUUUUCUUUUUUUUUUCUUUUUUUUUCGAAGCUGGGGACCGAACCCAGGGCCUUGCGCUUGCUAGGCAAGCGCUCUACCACUGAGCUAAAUCCCCAACCCUAAAUCUCACCGUUUUCAUAAACAUUUUGUUUUUUUAACAACACAGCUCCUGAACCAGUACUUAGUUUAAAGCACACUCAGUAGCCCAGACUGGCUUGGAACUCCAACCCAGGUUGGCCUUGAGCUCUUCUGGGAUUAGAGGAGCAAGCCACUAGACCUGGCUUAGCCUGAUUAAUUUUGCCUACUUUAUUAAGCAUAGUGAAGAAGUUAGAAAAAUUUGCUUGUGGGGCUGAGAGAUAGCUUUUAGCUUAGUAGUUAAGAGCACUCGUUCUUGCAGAAGUCCUAGGUUUGAGUACCAGCAACCACACAGCAGCCUACAACUGUCUAUAACUCCAGUUCUAGGCAUUGCAACUCUUCUGAGGCUGAGACCACCAGACAUAAACACACACACACACACACACGAAGCUGAGGCAGGAGGAUUGCUAGUUCCAUGUCAACCUGAAGUUGCAUACCAAGACCUUAACUCAAAAUUCUCUUUGCCUCUCCUGUUUUGAAUUCUCUAUGGUUUGCUGUCCCAAUUAAAUACCAUUACUUUUUGAAGAAUUACAAUGAAAGCUAUUAUGAGGCCACAUAUAAGUGUCUAUAAGAACACAUGUUUCGUUGCUCUGAAAGAAAAUAGUGAGAUAUGGAAGUUUGGUUUAUAUGUUGUUUAUGUUUUAUAAGAAGUCAGAAAACAUGGGGGCUGGAGAGAUGGCUCAGCAGUUAAGAGUACUUGCUGUUCUUGCAGAGGGCCUGUGUUGGUUUACUUCUCAGUCCCCACACAGUGGGCCUCCACCAUCCCUAACUUCAGCUCCAGGGAAUCCGGUGCUGUCUUCUGACCUCUGAAGAUUUUGACUUCUAUACCACUAGACAUGCAUGUGGCACACAUAUAUACAUGCAGGCAGAGCAGCCAUACACACAAAAUCAGUAAAAAUAAAAAUUUGUUUUAAAGAUUUGCUCUCACGUAUUAGAGCUGUGAAUACCAAUGCUAGUAUUUUACCUAAGAACUAUCACAGUAUGGGAAGUCACAUUUCUGCACUUAAUUCUUUGGCAGUGAACAAUAAGUAGACUUACACUGUCUAAUGGUACUUCUAGCAACUAAGAUUUUUAUAUGCCUUUAAGGUCACUUAGGUUUUCAAAUGAGAAAGAGGGAAGAGUCAAGCAAAACUGGAAUAAUAGGUCUUACCUAAUGAACUGUCUUCACCAAAGAAGCAGCUAUGGGCUGGCUGGUGUAUAGCUCAGGACCCCUGUUUAGAUCCCCAGGGUAUCUUAAGAGGUUUUUUAAUCUAACUGGGAUAGUCAGAGUCCUUUAUUGGUCAUCAAAAAUUGGGAACUGUUUUAAAUAAGUUCUGACCUGAAAUCAAAUUUUCCCUUUCUUAAAAUCCUUUAUAUUUACUCAUACUCAUAGUCUCGUCUGGGAAUCUUAACUAACAGGGAACCAUUCGCUACCUCCCUGUUUCUUUCCUGCAUCAAGGUAACCUAUGGUACAGUGUGUGUCACCAGGAUGAGGUUAUGGAAUGCUUUUCUCAAAGCUGCUGUGUAUUCUCAAUGAAAACUAUCAAUAAAUACAAAAUGAUAUGACUCAAAAUACAAAUAGGCUCAUGAAACGAAUCAUGUGCUCUAAGCUGUGCUGACACUCUGCCUGCCUCUCGAGUCCCCAUGUGACCGACCAGCUAAUUAGAGAAAGUAGCUGGGACCGCCACUUUUCAUUACUGCGUAACAAGCCUGUAGUAGGAGCUGUUUGUCUUGCCUUUGGCAGACUUGCGCCAUAUUUUCUAGGGUUACCCCUCCGGUUCAUAAAGACUAUUUACAGUACCUGGGAAACAGACAGGCGAGCUGUACGGCAGCCUAGCUUCAGAUGCCAGAAGCGAGUGCUGUCCGAUGCUGACGUGAUGUGCAGACUUGGGAGGCUUCUGUCCAAGUUUUGGCAUGAAUGUUUUACACACAAGUUUUUUACUCCUAGGAAUUCUUUUUUCCAGACAAUUUUUUUGUUGGUUAUUAAGAAAGUCUAAGCAUCUAGAUGUCUUGUGGGGUUUUUUUUUUUUUUCUUCUCCUUAACUGUUAAGAACGUUGUCUUCCCAAUAAGUGUUGUUCUGUGUAAACUUAAGGAGUUAUUUGUCAUUUUUGCAUGUUUUAUGAGUUCAGUUUGAACAAUGCAUUUAAAAUCAUCUGGGAUGUCCAAUUCUGGCACUUUUUGUGUUUUAAACAUGUCUCGUGUGUUUCCAAACCUCAUUUUGUAUCUUACUUGAGAUAAUUGAAGUUGAUUGGGGGUAUUUGCUUUACAAGUGUUUUUUCAAGAAGUUCUUAACACACACAGUGUUUAGAUAUUUCCUGGGCUGUUUAUAUGCUCAGUUUGCCCUGGACAAAGUGGUGGUCUUACUAAGAUUUGAAUUCUUAAUACAAAACGGGUUCUACGUUUAAUCUAUAGUUCAGCUUGUUGCUGAAUCCCAGACAGUGGUAGACAGCUAAUUCUUGUGGUGUGUUCCUGACCAGUGCCCUCUAGUAUGCAUGUGAGUUUCCAGGUUUCUGGGCAUCAAUCCCACAGUGCAAGGAGAUCAUUUACUGUUACAACACUUUUCCAAAUUGGAAUGAAGGCUUUGAGACAAAGAAGCAAGGUGGGGAGAUCAUGCCAUCCACUGCAGUUUUUGUUCAAGAUGCACGAAAGACCCUCCAGUAUCUAGUGAUUGUAAAGGUGCUAGGAACACACAGAGACAGGAGAGCUCUGACUCCUGGCUGAGACUCCCUGGACUCCACUGCUCUGAACCUAGGGCGUGUUAGACACCUCCCCAUGCUGUUUCCAUGGAUACACAUAGGCUAUAGGCACGUGGUUUGGGCUGUACCAAAUUGUGAAUACUCGCUG
ensembl:lncRNA